rnacentral:lncRNA from 1 species
GGUGAAUGACAAGCUAUGGAGAAAGGUUGAUGUAAGGUGAAUGACAAGCUAUGGUGAGGAUGACAACUUAUACAUACAACCCAUCCAUACAAACAGAUUUCAAUAGGUCCACACCCCAAUAUCACGCCGAAGCAUGGCGUGCAACUCUGACACACCAAAUCCAGUUAAAUUAUCAUACAUUAUUCGCUUAUGGUGACCAUCAACCCCCAUUCAGACCCACACCCCAGCUUUCAAAAAAAAUUUAAAAAAAAUAAAAACCUAAGUCCACAUAAAAUUUAGUAUUACCUUUUCAAGAGCCUUUUCCCUCGCAUCCUUCAGUUGGAAGAGGAGCGAAAUCGGCCAUUGUCUCGAAACUUAAAACAAGAACAUGGGAUAUGAGGGCGUUUAGGGAAAAAGAAGACGUGGGGAAAUUUAGGGUUGUAGGAAAACCAAUGUGAGAAAAAGUGAAAGUGAAAUAGUGCUUUUAAAGAACCCGUGGGACAUUGCGCGACAAAGAUUUAGUCGCGCAAACUUCGUUGCAAGACCUUGCUCGACGAAUAAGACGACUUCAAUGCCCACCGACCUUUUCGAAGUUUCUUUGAACAACAAAACCUGUGUUGCACAAAGUUUACACGGAAAAUUCUUCGUCACGCGCUUAUUUGGCAUCAAAAAACUUCAUACCCACAUUUUCUUGUCAGACUUUGCUGGACGAAGUGUUUGAUUCGUCGAGUAAAGAUUCCUUGCGCGACAAAAUCCUUUGUCGCUUAAGGUUUUCAACAUUUGCACGACUGAUAGGAGUAUAUUUAUGCGACUUAGUUAGCUUGUUUCUUGGCAUUUAUGUUGUUAGUUCGUAGUUAUUUUAGUAUUUUAAGUUAUUUUCGUGUGUUUAUAGGUCCAAAGGGUUAAUGUGGCAAAGAAGUACAUUUUGGAGCAUUUUUGGGCAUGGAAUGGAUAGCAUAUGCUUUUAGCAAAAGGAAUGGACGAAAUUUGAAGUUUAUGCAUCAUCAUCUCCCUAUAAAUUUUAGCACACUCAUUUCACCCAACACAUCCACUCAUUACAACCACCCAACACAUUCACCUACCACUACAUCCACUCAUUUCACCUAACACGUCCACUCAUUUCACCCAACACAUCCUUUCACCUACCACUACAUCCACUCAUUUCACCUAACACAUCCACUCAUUUCACCCAACACAUCCGCUCAUUACAACCACCCAACACAUUCACCUACCACUACAUCCACUCAU